rnacentral:rRNA from 1 species
AUGCCGGCUCUGCGCACCGCUAGUCGGACUGCCGACUGGCUGGAAGUCGCCGCUGGCCGUCUUGAGGCUUGGAAGGGCUCCUCGGCCCAAGCCGGAGCAUGCCGGGCCUUGGAGUUCGUCAUGGCGUGGUAUCCAGGGCUGGACCUGGAUCGCCUGGCCGUGUUCCGGUCAGAAGCCCAGGCCGAGCUGGAGGCCGUGGAGGGCGCCCUUGUCGAGCGCGCGGCGGCCAUCACCGAGUACACGAACACCAAUGUCUUUGUGCCCGAGCGGUCUCAAGGUGGCGAGGAAGUGCCGGCGGACUGGUUCGGGAUGAACCCGGAGUAUGGCGAAGACUCGGUGGAGGUGAUCGACUCCAGCGCCGAGGAGGAGGACGAGGCGGAGGACGGAGGCGAGGCGUUGGCGCCAGAAGACGGAGCAGGCGACCAGCCUCAGCUCGAUCGUGCCUCCAGCAACGAGCCGCAUGGAGACAAGGCGACUGCCGCCGGAGGCGACCAAACUGAGACCGCCCAGCCGACUGUCCCGGCGCCUGACACCGCCGUCUCCUCCGAUCCUCCGGCCCCGGAUGCCGCCUUCUAG